rnacentral:lncRNA from 1 species
GGCAUAUGGAAGUUCCCAGGCUAGGAGUCGAAUCAGAGUUAUAGCCUCCAGCCUACACCACAGCCACAGCAACACAGGAUCUGAGGCAUGCCUGCGACCUACACCACAGCUCACGGUUAACUGCUAAGCCACGAAGGGAAUUCCGAAGCAUCAGUAUUGAUUGUCCGAGUUUUUCGGGAUACCCUUAUCAAUAAGUUAUCCUCGACUAUGAGUUAUUCUCACAAAUGUUCACUGGUAAGGAUGACACCAAAGUUGACACAUCAUUGCAUGUUCCAACAUGCUGGAGGCACAAACAGUAGGUCAUUACAAAUUCCAGCAGCUACUCUUUCUCCUAGAGAGGUGUGCCAAGUACGACUUGUAGUCCAAAGGAGGAGAAAGGACUAUUUCUCUUUCUAGAUACCAAUGGCUAUAAGAAAUAACCUUUGUCUAUAGCAGCUACAGAGAGAACAAACAAGAUCUAAAGUUAGCAGAAGGAAAGAAAUCAUAAAGAUCAGAGCAGAAAUCAAUGAAAUAGAAAUGAAGAAAACCACAGAAAAGAUCAAUGAAACAAAAAGCUGGUUUUCUGAAAAGAUCAGCAAAAUUGAUGAACCCUUAGCCAGACUUAUCAAGAAAAACAAAGAGAGGACUCAAAUCAAUAAAAUUAGAAAUGAAAAAGAAGUUAUACCAGACAUCACAGAAACACAAAGGAUCAUAAGAGACUACUACAUGCAAAUCUAUGCAAAUAAAACGGAAAGCCUAGAAGAAAUGGACAAAUUCUUAGAAAAGAAAUACCUUUGGGGGAAAUACUUUGCUCAAAGCAGAGAACUUGUUUUGCUGUUUAACUUGUUCUGGCUCCAAGGGGUUCCACUUUCCUAACUCCCACUGACUAUAUAGAGAGUGAUCUGUAACUUUGAUUCAUUAUGUUUCAGAGUUUUGUUCAACUUAAAAAAAAAAAUUAGAAGCCCUGCCCAGUCCCGUGGGAAACCCAAACAACCUGUCUGAAGCCAGUAAGGCACCAGUAAUGGAGUUUCAGACACACAGAAUGAGACCAGCCCCAUCCGCAGAAAUACAAUGUGAGACACCUAUAUCACUUACAUUUUUCUAGUAAACACAUGUUAAAAAGUAAAAAGAAACAGGUGAAAUUAAUGAUAAUUAUUCUAUUUAGCCAAUGUAUCAAAAUAUAUUGAAACCCAUAUACUAUCCCUUCAACAGUGCUCAACAGCCGCAUGUUGUUAGCAGAACUAACACAGGAACAGUGGGGUCAGAGCCGUAAUAUCCCAAAGUUCUCCAGUUAGGGUUUGGUUUGGCUUUAACAACAAAUUUACUAAGUGAUCAAUCCCACUGCCCAGGGCUUCCUGAAUACUAUUCCUGGAAACUGACUACUAACAAGAGUUCUCAAUGUUUUAAUAAGUUAUUCUGCUAACCACUAUUUCGUAAAUAAACCUGUUUCGGUGGCAGGUCUUUUAUUUGUGCACGUGCGUUAAUGCAGACAAAACACAAAACCCGUACAACUCAACAGUUCUGAUGAUGAGAAACCUUAUUAAAACCUUCUUAGCCACAAGGAAAAGGGCAUUUUAAAAAGGCAAGGGUGAAAUGCGGGCUGAGCUGUAUCUCUAGAUAAAGUGAUCCAGCUACUGGUACAUCUGAAACAAAACAACCUCAGCAUGCACUGGUCCAGGGCUGUCACAUGAUCAUGAAGCAGCUACACCUUCUUCUUCUUUUUUUCUUUUUUUUAAGGGCCGCACCUGCAGCAUGUGGAAGUUCCCAGGCUAGGGGUUGAAUCAGAGCUACAGCUGCCAGUGUAUACCAUAGCCACGCCAGAUCUGAGCCACAUCUGCAACCUACACCACAACUUUGGCAACGCCAGAUCCUUAAGCCACUGAGCAAGGCCAGGGAUCGAACCCGCAUCUUCAUGGUUCCUAGUAGGAUUUGUUAACCACUAAUCCACGAAGGGAACUCCCAGCUACACCUUCUGAAACCAUUACAAACCCUCUCGGUCUAACAAAGACCAGUCACUAUUUCACUGAAAGUGCUUCCUCCUAACUAUCAAGCCUUCUCUCCAGGUUCUCUCUGACACAAACGUCUCCUUGCCAAACAUGACGUGAAGGUGAGAGACCCUCCUCUCGUGGGCCCCCCAAAUCACCUGGGACUGGUAGUUGGAGGCAGCCGUGACACACAUGAAAAUAAAUAGUGUACUUCUGGUGAACAAGGAGAUUAAGAGAGGGUAGAGGGAAAAGGUGGAGAGAAUGCAAAACAAGAGAAUGAAAGAAAAGCAAAUGAAUUAAGUAAUUUUAAAAAAAGAAGUAUUUGUUCUCUCUCAACAUCUAAGGAAAGGAGGGAGGAAGGGAGGGAGGAAGGAAGGAAGGAAGGAAAUGAAGCACUAAAAAUGAAGUACUAGCCUAAAGGUCAACUCUAGUUAAUAAUAAAAUCCAGGGUGAGUGUCUUAAUGCUUGAGUGAGGCAGCACACAAGCUUUCUGAUAUAACUAACUCAAGUGGAUUCACCAUGAAGCUAAUGAUGCUUAAGCAGCAAGGACCCUUUCAAAGCCCUGGGAAGAGCUCUAAUAUUUUUCCUAUGGUCACAUGUCCACAAAAUUUGCAUGCACACAUUAACACACACAAAGAUACUAUAAUCAGAAUCUUUUUAAGACUAUCUUUUUUCCAUUUUGGCUUCCACCUUAGUAGAUCUGUAUGGAAGUGGGACAGGGUAUAUUUUAAGAAUGUGGCUAAGGAGGAGUCAGGAAUACACUUACUUUGGGGUUUCGUGGAAUAUAUCUCUGAGGUUCACGGUCACCUCUGUGUAUUGUUAUGUCAUUGCUAGCUACCAUCACAGUGUAAAAAGGACUUCCAGGCACAACACUGACUCAGUGUCAUGACAUGAAGAUGUGAGACCAGCGGGCACAUGAUAAGAAUAUGUCCCAUGGCAUUCAGUACAAGAAUUAUGUGGGCACAAGAAGAGAACCAGGGUUUAAACUGUACAGAGGUCUAUGGAGAAAAAUCUUCCAACCCUCAGACAGGUCAAGUCAGAAGCUGAGGAUUUGCUCCUCAUCAACAUCUAGUCAAAGUUCUCCUACCAUGAAUACACUUGAUAAUGAAACAGAUAAGAUGAGAAAUGAACCACACUUUUUUUUUUUUUUGGUCUUUUUAGGACUCCACUUGAGGCAUAUGGAAGUUCCCAGGCUAGGAGUCAAAUCAGAGCUGCAGCUGUCAGCCUACACCACAGCCACAGCAACACAGGAUCCGAGCUGCACCUUUGACCUACACCGCAGCUUAUAGGAACACUGGAUCCUUAAUCCACUGAGUGAGGCCAGGGAUCGAUCGAACCCAUAACCUCACUGUUACUAGUCAGAUUCAUUUCCUCUGCACCACAACGGGAACUCCAUGAACCAUACAUUUUUAAGUAGGCAGUAUGUGAAAUCAAUGAUCAAAAUUCUGGGCUCAGUGGGCUAAUGAGCCCAACUAGAAUCCAUGAGGACACAGGUUUGAUCUCUGGCCUCGCUCAGUAUGUUAAGGAUCCAGCAUUGCCAUGAGCUGUGGUGUAGUUUCAGACGCAGCUCAGAUCCCAUGUUGCUGUGGCUCUGGUGUAGGCCAGUGGCUACAGCUCAGAUUCAACCCCUAGCCUGGGAACCU